ensembl:processed_transcript
GAAUAGAUCAGAGCUCUUCUCUUCACCGGUGGCCCCACAGCCCCAGCUGUGAGUGAACCAUCCCCGGAUGCCUCUGGUUAGAGUAGUUUACAGAAAUCUACCUGGAAGCUGGAUUGGGUUUUGGAUCUGCAGCAGCAGAGAGAACUGGCUCUGCUGGGAUCAGGAGAGCUGUCCCUGCCCUCACCUGCUGUGAGACUCAAGAGAGCAGACCCUGCACCUCACCUGGAAAGCACAAGAGAGCUGAUCCUGGUGAACUUCACGAAGCUGUUAAAUGCAUUGGACCACGGUGUUUGGAGAAAUCAAAAUCUAUCCCCGGGCCACGGCCAUUCAGAUCGGGUUCCGUCUCUUCUUUCUUGGAGGUGAGAGCUGUGUCCUUCGAUGGAAAGCACCUGGCCUUGUUGAGAUACCCGCGCCCAGGGAUCAUCUAGUAAGAGCUGAAGAGACGGCUCAGCGGUUACGAGCACUGGCUGGCUGCUUUUCCAGGGGACCUUGGUUUGAAUCCCAGCACCCACAUAACUGUCUGUACCUCCAGUUUCCCUGGAUCUGUUGCCCUCUUUUGCCCUCUGCAGACACACAUGUG